GACGGAGGAUGCAAGUGUUAUCCGGAAUCACUGGGCGUAAAGCGUCUGUAGGUGGUUUAAUAAGUCAACUGUUAAAUCUUGAGGCUCAACCUCAAAAUCGCAGUCGAAACUAUUAGGCUAGAGUAUAGUAGGGGUAAAGGGAAUUUCCAGUGGAGCGGUGAAAUGCGUAGAGAUUGGAAAGAACACCGAUGGCGAAGGCACUUUACUGGGCUAUUACUA
rnacentral:rRNA from 1 species